rnacentral:rRNA from 1 species
GACCUCAGAUCAGGUAGGACUACCGCCUGAACUUAAGCAUAUCAAUAAGGCGAGGAACAGAAACCAACAGGGAUUCCCCUAGUAGUGGCGAAUGAACCGGGAAGAGCUCAAGUUUGAAAUCUGGUGUCAACCAGAGUUGUAAGCUGAAGAGGCGUCGACCGACAGCGGACUGGGCUCAAUGAACCUUGGAACAGGCAGUCGUGGAGGGUGAAAAUCCCGUCUAUGGCUCGUGUGCCGUCGUCUAUGUGUCGUGCCCUCGAAGAGUCGGGUUGUUUGGGAAUGCAGCUCAAAAUGGGUGGUAAAUUUCAUCUAAAGCUAAAUAUUGGCGAGAGACCGAUAGCAAACAAGUAGAGUGAUCGAAAGAUGAUAAGUAUCUUGAAAAGGAAGUGAAACAGUGCGUGAAAUUGUUGAAAGGGAAGCGU